UUGUGAUGGAACUACGGGUGCACGUAUGUGGCCAGAGUUUGAAUAAAAGGUGGAGGCGAC
rnacentral:misc_RNA from 1 species